CAAAGCAAGCAGAGGCGCCCGCUUCUCACCUGAUGACGCAAUAGCAGUUUACAGGUAUUAAACGUUUCAUUUCUGGAUAAAUGGAAUAAGUGUGGGCGUAUAUAUUGCGCCUACACUUUUUUUGUACU
rfam:Bacillus akibai JCM 9157 DNA, contig:contig_6.